AACGAACGCUGGCGGCAGGCCUAACACAUGCAAGUCGAACGAGUAAGAGCCGUAGCAAUACGGAGUUCUGCUAGUGGCGCACGGGUGAGUAACGCGUGGGAACGUGCCUUGGAGUUCGGGAUAACAGUUGGAAACGACUGCUAAUACCGAAUAUUCCCUCAGGGGGAAAGAUUUAUCGCUCCAAGAUCGGCCCGCGUAAGAUUAGGUAGUUGGUGGGGGUAAUGGCCUACCAAGCCUACGAUCUUUAGCUGGUCUGAGAGGACGACCAGCCACACUGGAACUGAGACACGGUCCAGACUCCUACGGGAGGCAGCAGUGGGGAAUAUUGGACAAUGGGCGAAAGCCUGAUCCAGCCAUGCCGCGUGAAUGAUGAAGGCCUUAGGGUUGUAAAAUU
rnacentral:rRNA from 1 species